UUUUUGUUUAAUGAUAUAAUUGGGAGAGUUUUCACUUCCACAUUUCUUUGCAAAUUCAAUUCAAUCUGAAUGGCAGUGAUUGGCUGAGAAUGCUGGUUUAUCCAUUCCUACCUCCAGUACUACGAGCAUACCACUGAAAUGCAGAUUGGACAAAAUAAAUACAGAUCAUUUGAAAGUGAAGUAUUGAUGAGUUGGAGGAGAUGGAGGUCUCUUAGCAUCAGAAAAAGCACAUUUUUUUUUGCCAAACGGCUCCCAAAGAAACUGUCAAAAAACUGGGUGCCCGGAAACGUAUAAUAACAAUCUAAAUUAAU